CCUUUGCGAUCUAUAAAUCCAAAAGAUUUUUUAGGUUCUCACGAAGUGUUUCCAUUUCAAUUGUAAACAAAUUCUUUAUAGUAAAUUCAUGCCACAAUGAGGAAGAGGAUGUUCAAGAACAUGACGAAGGGUCCAGCGCAUGCAAUUCUAGUCAAAGAAAGAUCCUGAAAACAUUGAUCACAUGUUUCUAAAAAAUAUAUUUUCCACCUUCCUUCCUGUUGGAGGGAUUUUUUUUUUUUUUUAAUUUCUUUCAUGUUAGU
rnacentral:lncRNA from 1 species